rnacentral:rRNA from 1 species
AGAGUUUGAUCCUGGCUCAGAAUCAACGCUGGCGGCGUGCCUAACACAUGCAAGUCGAACGCGAAAGUGGAGCAAUCCAUGAGUAGAGUGGCAAACGGGUGAGUAACACGUGGGUGACCUGCCUUCGAGCGGGGGAUAACGUCCCGAAAGGGACGCUAAUACCGCAUAACAUCCUGCCUUUUAAGAGGUGGAGAUCAAAGCCGGGGAUCGCAAGACCUGGCACUUGAAGAGGGGCCCGCGCCUGAUUAGCUAGUUGGUGGGGUAAUGGCUCACCAAGGCAACGAUCAGUAUCUGGCCUGAGAGGGCGGACGGACACACUGGGACUGAGACACGGCCCAGACUCCUACGGGAGGCAGCAGUGGGGAAUUGUUCGCAAUGGGCGCAAGCCUGACGACGCAACGCCGCGUGGAGGAUGAAGACCUUCGGGUCGUAAACUCCUUUCGAUCGAGACGAAUGGUUUCCGGGUGAAUAAUCCGGAGAAGUGACGGUACCGAGAGAAGAAGCCCCGGCUAACUCCGUGCCAGCCGCCGCGGUAAUAC